CUGGGUUUUCCAACCUUCCCUGAGAUUUCCACAGCAGAUCAAGGUGUUGUCCACCCUUGUGCCUCCGACACUGGUCGGGAGUCUCGGGAAAGGACUUUUCCUUAAUUUCUCAGCAGCAGCCUUUCUCUAAGGAUGCUUCGCCGCGCCAAAAGCGAGGCUGAGUGCCGAGCUGGCUGCACUCCUGCCUCCCGCCGGUGCCUGCGGGCUGUGGCUGCCCAUCGCGAUGCGGCUGCCAGGCAGGCUGAGCUUCCAUUUCGGCUGUGUUUGCAGCCCAGACUUAUCCCAAACCUGGUGACAGACAGACACCCAGUUUGGUGCCUUUUCCUGUGGUUUUUUUUUUCUUUUUUGGUUGUUGUUGUUUUUUUGGUGUUUUUUUUUUUUUUUUUUUUCAUGUCACUCGAAAGCGCGUCGGGUUUUGCUCGCGGGUCACACCGCUUAGUUACAGUGCCCUCGGAGAUGGACAGGUUAUUACGUAGAUUACGUGGCUCACAUAGCAGGGCCCUGCAGAGGAGGGAGGGGAGCCAGUGUUUGGUCAGUGUUUGUGGCCAUGCAGCGGCUGAGGGCUCAGCCAGGACAGGCUCCCGCCGGGGAUGUGACCAGCGGCUCUACCUGCACAGGGUCCGCUGUGCGCGGGUCUCCCUCAUCCCCACACGGCGGCCGGUCCGGGCUGCAGGGUGUCAGAUAGCCCCGGCGCUGCGGCGCACCGGCUCGGGGCGGGGGCAGCCCCGCCGGCAGUGUGGGCAGGAGGAGUUUCCCCAGGGCCAGCGCUGGGGCCGGCGGUGUCGGGGAGCUGCGAGGCCGGGUGCGGGGCCGGGAUGCGGGGCCGGUCACCCCGCGCCCCCCGAACCCCGCUCUCGCCUCAGCACUCGCCUUCCUUUGUCCCGCUUAGUAACCGGCGCUGGCGGCCAAUCGCCAUCGAGCCGGCCGGCCCCGCCGCGCGCUGAUUGGCUGGGCCGCCCGCAGCCCUCUGCCAAUCCCGGCGCUCGCUGCUCCUUCAGACAAAGGCAGCAGCUCUGGCAACUGCGC
rnacentral:lncRNA from 1 species